UAAACAACCUGCCUUCAGGAUGGGGACAACAGACGGAAACGACUGCUAAUACCGAAUAAGUUCCAAGAGCCGCAUGGCCCAUGGAAGAAAAGGUGGCCUCUACCUGUAAGCUAUCGCCUGAAGAGGGGCUUGCGUCUGAUUAGCUGGUUGGAGGGGUAACGGCCCACCAAGGCGACGAUCAGUAGCCGGUCUGAGAGGAUGAACGGCCACACUGGAACUGAGACACGGUCCAGACUCCUACGGGAGGCAGCAUG
rnacentral:rRNA from 1 species